rnacentral:lncRNA from 10 species
UGCAUUUUGCUUGUUUAUUAUGUUUUCUCUCCAUCAGAAUGAAAGCUCCUCGAGGGCAGGGACUUUGGUCUAUUGUCUGUAUUUGCCGGUGCCUAGGAUUGUGCCUGUAUGCAACAGGCACUCAAUAAAUAUUUUUGCUGUAGACUGGACAGGCAUGAGUUAGAUUCUCUGGGGCUUCUGCAGAGACUGGUUUGGGAAAGUGGGUGCUAGGGAAAAGCUCUGCUCCCUGCAACCUCCCCAUUUUAAUCUUUCAGUAUUGAAAAGUGGAGAGGAACCGGAUUCAGUCUGCUGGGGACAGAGGCAGUGGGGUGUGGAGAGGCGGGACCGGGGUUGGGGAGAGUGGGGCUCAGCAUGCGCAUGCGCAAUUCGCGCGAGCGCAGUCAACAUGUGAUUGAUGAGCCAGUCUUUUUCCUGGGAUUCGCUUUUGCCUUUCUUGCAAAGUUUCCUGGGGAAAGAAGAGCGAGCAAGUAGAAAAGGGAAAGUGGGAGGAC